GACGCCCUGCCUAGGAAAGAGCAGGGCAUUGGUUACCUGCUUGGCCAGGGGGUCAGGGAGGGACUAGCUCUUCCUGCUGCCUGCACAGCUCAUCCCCAUCGAAUUGUCUCUUAUUUUUUUGGCCUCUCACCUUGGGCCCUUGCUGCAGUAACCGUGAUUUCAAUCAACAUAAUCCAUGGGCUGAUUGAUCCCUGCUGGUAAAUUCUAUUUUUAUAAAGGAUGAGCCCGCAGGCUUCAAUAUGUUGUAGAGAUAUCUAGUCCUGGAAUCUUCUAAUCAGAGUUUAAAAAUAUUAGGUUGUUUAAAACUCUGGAGAGAUCAGAAGAGAAUGCUGAUGUCUUGAGCUGCUCACCACACAGAGCCUUUGAGUGCAUGACUUGCGGGAUCUUAGUUCCCUGACCGGGGCUGGACCCACACCCUUGGUAGUGAAAGUAUAGCGUCCUAACUAUUGGACUGCCAGAAGAUUCCCAUGAAUGGCACACAGUGCUAACACAGAGGAAAGAAAAAUGGAAAGACAGUGAGAAGCUUGGUCCAAAUGGAAUCGAGCCCCUGUAU
ensembl:lncRNA